GUCACAGCUACUGAGUCUGCGUCCCAGUGUCCCUGAGCUCCGGCUACCGAGCUUGCGCGAUGCCAGUCCUGAAACCCACGUGCGGAGAGCGCCAGCUCCACAGCCGGAGAGGCCACAGCGAUGAGAAGCUUGUGCAGCAUAGCCGGAGGGUGGUUCCGGCUCUUCGCCACUCAGUGACGGAGACCCAGCGCAGCCGGGUACCUACAGACAUAAACAGACAGGGGAUUCAGCGGAGCUCAAAGAAUUUGCCAAGUGAAACAAGGACAUCCUAGGAGCCGAAAUUGGUGUAAAUCCCACAGCAUGAGCUGCCCAAACUUCUGUGGGAUUCAGAAGUUUCAUGGAGCAUAGACAACUUCCUGGUGGGAGAUGAGAACAUUAUGUACAAAUAACUGUCUGCACAGGGAGGAACUUGGCACUAUGACUCCCAGAGGCGGAUCACAGCGUCGCACCCAAUGUGUCGAAAGCUGAGAGAGUUGAGGAGGAUUGCUGAGAAGAGAAGGAGGCGGAGGGCGAUGAGAGGGAGGAAAGGAAAGCGAGUCCAAGUUCUUGACCUGCGGGAACUGCAGCCCCUGGAAACUGUGCGAUGCAUCCAAGCUCCCCACAUCCUACCAGUGUGUGUAGGUGCCUGGGUACUGACUACAAUCUGCUGAGACUGGGUCAGGGACCAGAUUUGUUUCCUAAGUUCAUGUUUUAGUAAGCCGCAACUUUCUAAAUGUGAUUACCUGAAUUAUCACAAGCAGAGUUUCAACGGAACCACAAAUCUGUAGACACAUCUGUCCAUGACAACGAACAGCCAUUUUUAGAGGAAUGGAAUUUAGCGUGGUGACCUCUGAAGUCCUUUUGCUGUUCAAAGGCCCUGUGGUUUUCUGUCAGAGACCAGACAGAUGGGACUGCUGAGAGAAAAUAGAUGGUUCCCAGUAUCUUGAGUGGACACAUUUCACACAUUGUAACCACGGCCCAGUGUUUGGUGUUUGUCCUGCAGAACCCAUAAAACUAAUAAACCUAGUUAUUGCAUGUGGAA